rnacentral:rRNA from 1 species
UACAGAGGUCCCGAGCGUUGUUCGGAUUCAUUGGGCGUAAAGGGUGCGUAGGCGGUCUGCUCAGUUUGAUGUGAAAGCCCGGGGCUCAACCCUGGAAUUGCAUUGAAUACUGGCGGACUAGAGUACUGGAGAGGAAACUGGAAUUUACGGUGUAGCAGUGAAAUGCGUAGAGAUCGUAAGGAAGACCAGUGGCGAAGGCGAGUUUCUGGACAGUUACUGACGCUGAGGCACGAAGGCCAGGGGAGCAAACGGG